GAUGAACGCUAGCGGCAGGCCUAACACAUGCAAGUCGAGGGGUAGAAGGAGCUUGCUCCUUUGAGACCGGCGCACGGGUGCGUAACGCGUAUGCAAUCUACCUUGUACAGAGGAAUAGCCCAGAGAAAUUUGGAUUAAUGCCUCAUAGUAUAUUGGGUCGGCAUCGACCUAUUAUUAAAGAUUUAUCGGUACAAGAUGAGCAUGCGUCCCAUUAGUUAGUUGGUAAGGUAACGGCUUACCAAGACGAUGAUGGGUAGGGGUCCUGAGAGGGAGAUCCCCCACACUGGUACUGAGACACGGACCAGACUCCUACGGGAGGCAGCAGUGAGGAAUAUUGGGCAAUGGAGGCAACUCUGACCCAGCCAUGCCGCGUGCAGGAAGACGGUCCUAUGGAUUGUAAACUGCUUUUAUACGGGAAGAAACACCACUACGUGUAGUGACUUGACGGUACCGUAAGAAUAAGGAUCGGCUAACUCCGUG
rnacentral:rRNA from 1 species